UUAAUUAAAAUAUAUUAUAUUAAUAUUCACGAAGUUGGGGGAGCUAAUUAUUACAUAUUUGUAGAUAUUAAUAUGUUGCAAAAUUAUGUAAAUAGUAAUUAGGAGUGAUAGGCUUAUCAUAUCCAACGAUAACUUGAUGGUUUUAAAAGGUAUAUAGUACAUAGACACUUUUAAAGUGAUAAGGUUUUAAAAGAAGAACAAAUGGCUUUUACUUAAAAUGUAUAUUGUUUAAUCACUUAUACAGGAAUAAGGUAAUAUUAAUUUAUUUCAUUUGUUUAUAUUAUAAACCUAUGAAAAUAUUAUUAAUACAUAUAUAAUGUUAAUAUAAGUACUAAAUAAGUGUAUUUAAUGAACUCGGCAAUAAGCCUUUCAACUGUUUAUCAAAAACAUAGCUGUAUGAAAUAAUAUACAGUGUUUUCUGCUCAAUGAAUAUUAAAUAGCCGCAGUACCCUGACUGUGCUAAGGUAGCGCAAUCAAUUGACUUUUAAAUGGAGUCCAGUAUGAAAGAAAUUAUGGAGGGCUACUUUCUCAUUUACAAUUUAAGAAUUUACUUAAGAAGUGCAAAUUCUUCUAUAUAAAUAAUAGACGAGAAGACCCUAGAAAUUUUAAGAAAUAACUUUUUGUUGGGGCAACAAAGUAGCAUUAGUAAUCUACUGUUAUGACAUGAAAGAUAUAACUUGUAAGUUUAAAUUACUCUAGGGAUAACAGCAUAAUUUAUAAUAGUUUGUGACCUCGAUGUUGGACUAGGGAAUUUACAUUUAGAAG
rnacentral:rRNA from 1 species